rnacentral:misc_RNA from 1 species
CGGCGGCACCGGAUAUGGACUUAAAAGAUGCCGCCGUAGUGACGGCGGCGGCGACGUCCGAAGAGAGGGAGGAUGAGCGAGAGUGACCUGGAGUGGCGGCGGAGCGCACGUAGCAGAAGGAGUGACCGAGCGCCUCUUCGAGCGGGUCCUUCACGAUCGGCGGCGCGGAAGCGUCGUCACCGCCGUCGGCAGCGGCGGGCCGGAGGCAG